rnacentral:rRNA from 1 species
GUGUCAGCCGCCGCGGUAAUACGGAGGAUCCAAGCGUUAUCCGGAAUCAUUGGGUUUAAAGGGUCCGUAGGCGGCCAAAUAAGUCAGUGGUGAAAGCCCAUCGCUCAACGAUGGAACGGCCAUUGAUACUGUUUGGCUUGAAUUAUUAGGAAGUAACUAGAAUAUGUAGUGUAGCGGUGAAAUGCUUAGAGAUUACAUGGAAUACCAAUUGCGAAGGCAGGUUACUACUAAUAUAUUGACGCUGAUGGACGAAAGCGUGGGGAGCGAACAGGAUUAGAUACCCUGGUAGUCC